rnacentral:lncRNA from 1 species
CUCCAUGGUCACAGGUUGCUGGGUGCUCCUUUUACGAUGUUUUCCCAGCAGCAUGCAGGCAGCAGUAGCUUCCUUUGAUCAUUUUUCAGUUUCUGUUAUUUGCUAGUGAGAGAAAGUUUAUACCUGCUUGUGGGGACAUGAGUGAAGAAAGAGAGGGGACUUUGAAACAAGAGAAGAGAGCAAACUCAAAAGGUUUUUCAUGGCAGCAUGUGACAAGAUGAUGCUGAAAAAUUUAUAUGGAAAUUCAAAGGAUCAAGAAUAGCUGAAACAUCACUGAAGAAGAACAAAGUGGGCUGAACUCGCUCUACUAGAUAUCAAGAUUUAUAAGCAACUACAGUAUUUAGGACAGUGUAGUAUCGGCACUGGGAGAGAAAAAAAAAAAAAAAAACUAAAAGGAAAAAGAGCCCAGAGACUGACUUUUGUGUAUGUGGACAGUUUGUUUAUGAUGAAAGUACCACUGCUAUGCACUGUGGGAAAAUGUCCUCAAAGAAUGACACUAGGGCAACUGGGUAUCCCCAUGUAAAAACAAUUAACCCUAAUCUCACAUCACACACAAAAAUCAACUCCAUUUGGGGUAUAUACUUAAAUGGAAGGUAAAACUAUUAAUAUAAAGUUUAUAGAGAAUA